GUCGAUUCAGUUACCUUCGGGUAAUGAGGAUGGCGGACGGGUGAGUAACGCGUAAGGAACUUGCCUCUUGGACUGGGACAACUGUUGGAAACGACAGCUAAUACCGGAUAUUAUGAGAUUCUCGCAUGAGAAACUUAUGAAAGCUAUAUGCGCCAAGAGAGAGCCUUGCGUUCCAUUAGCUAGUUGGUGGGGUAACGGCCCACCAAGGCGACGAUGGAUAGCCGGCCUGAGAGGGUGAACGGCCACAAGGGGACUGAGACACGGCCCUUACUCCUACGGGAGGCAGCAGUGGGGAAUAUUGGACAAUGGGCCACAAGCCUGAUCCAGCAAUUCUGUGUGCACGAUGAAGGUCUUCGGAUUGUAAAGUGCUUUCAGUUGGGAAGAAGAAAGUGACGGUACCAACAGAAGAAGCGACGGCUAAAUACGUGCCAGCAGCCGCGGUAAUACGUAUGUCGCAAGCGUUAUCCGGAUUUAUUGGGCGUAAAGCGCGUCUAGGCGGAAAAAUAAGUCUGAUGUUAAAAUGCGGGGCUCAACUCCGUAUUGCGUUGGAAACUGUUUUUCUAGAGUACUGGAGAGGUGGGCGGAACUAC
rnacentral:rRNA from 1 species